UGCCUCCUCCCGGUCGGCUGCACAGUCCUCCCCCGGCUCUCGGAGAUGGGCAGCGCGCGGUUGCCAGCCAGCCCGCUGCGCCGAGGUGGUUGUGACUGGGAGGAGGUCCCCUAUCGCCCAGACUCGGUUUGCGUCCUUUCUUCAACCUUGGCUGCGGGCCCCUGCCACUCGCAAUAACACCACCACAUCCUCUGCACCGAAACUUCCCGCCAAGCAACACCCAGCCAAUUAACCCCAUCCUCUCCUCCAACACAGAAUUCCACCCACGAACCUAUUCCCUCUCCCCGCGCUUCAGACACCUCCCUCAUCGGAAAACCGCGUGAAGGGACGCAGGCACUCAGCAGAGGACCCUGGCUGAAUUAAUGGCGGUUCCCAGAAGCUCCUGCCCCUCUGACAGCUGUCGCUUGGGCAGCCCGGGGAGACGAAUUGUCCUCCUUCCUGGUGCUAGAGGACGCAGGAAAUUAGCCAGGUUGCGAGUUGCAAAGCGGCCGCGGCGGCGCCGGGAACUGGACGAGCCCCACCUCCAGCGGGAGCGGCCGGGCCGGGCCGGGCCGGGGCCUCGUCUCGCUCGCCAUAGCCGGACAAAGCACAGCCGAGCCGGGCUGGAAGGCAGAGCGCCGAAGCAGGCAGGACGGAGCGGAGCAGAAGAAUGCGGCUCUAUUCUCGCAAGGGAAAUUAUAAAAAAGUUCAUGUUCACGGUUCCCAUCCACAUGACCGACAACGGCCAAUGGAAGGGCCGAACAACUCAUAAAGUUGUAUUGCAAAGUUGUAAAUUUUCAUAAACAACAACGGAUUUAUGACCCUUUCCCCAUCA